rnacentral:rRNA from 1 species
AACGAACGCUGGCGGCGUGGCUAAGACAUGCAAGUCGAACGAAUAGUUAUUGAGUAAUCGAGAGACUAAUUAGUGGCGCAAGGGCUGAGGAAUAGAUAGGUACGUACCCUGUACUUCGGGAUAGCGUCGUUGAUCGCAAGGUCAUCUACCGAAAGGGGCAUAAUACCGUAUAAUAUCACCAGUCGAUGGACUGGUAAUCAAAGAUUUAUCGGUGCAGGAGGGCCUAUCUCCUAUCAGCUAGUUGGUGAGGUAAUGGCCCACCAAGGCAACGACGGGUAAGGGACUGAGAGGUUGUUCCCUCACAUCGGGACUGAGACACUGCCGGACCUCCACGGAGGCUGCAGUAACGAAUAUUGCGCAAUGGGCGAAAGCCUGACGCAGCGACGCCGCGUGUAGAUGAAGUCCCUCGGGAUGUGAACUACUGUCAGGGAAAAGAAAGUCCGUUUAGGCGGAUUAUCUAUCCCAAAGGAAGCCACGGCUAACUUCGUGCCAGCAGCCGCGGUAAGACGAAGGUGCGAGCGUUGUUCGGUGUCACUGGGCAUAAAGGGUGUGUAGGCGGGANCGUAAGCGCUUGUGAAANCCCCCGGCUUAACCGGGGAA